rnacentral:rRNA from 1 species
CCUACGGGAGGCAGCAGUGAGGACUAUUGGUCAAUGGACGGAAGUCUGAACCAGCCAUGCCGCGUGCAGGAAGACGGCUCUAUGAGUUGUAAACUGCUUUUGUACAAGGGUAAACCUGAAUACGUGUAUUCAGCUGAAAGUACUGUACGAAUAAGGAUCGGCUAACUCCGUGCCAGCAGCCGCGGUAAUACGGAGGAUCCAAGCGUUAUCCGGAUUUAUUGGGUUUAAAGGGUGCGUAGGCGGAUUGAUAAGUUAGAGGUGAAAUGUCCGAGCUUACCUCGGGAACUGCCUCUAAUACUGGUGAUCUAGAGAGUAGAUGCGGUAGGCGGAAUGUAUGGUGUAGCUGUGAAAUGCUUAGAGAUCAUACAGAACACCGAUUGCGAAGGCAGCUUACCAAUCUAUAUCUGACGUUGAGGCACGAAAGCGUGGGGAGCAAACAGGAUUAGAUACCCCAGUAGUC